ACCUGGCUAGCUCAGUUGGUACAGCAUGUGACUCUUGAUCUCAGGGUUGUGAGUUUGAGUCCCCCAUCAGGUA
rnacentral:tRNA from 1 species